UGGUCUGGAACUCCUGACCUCAAGUGAUCUUCCUGCCUUGGCCUCCCAAAGUGCUGAGCUUACAGGCAUGAGCCACCACGCCUGGCCUCAGCAAGGUUCUUAGACAUAGAUGUACCCACAGAUCCCUGGCAGAGAGGUAGAUACUGAGUGGGUCAGAAAGGUCCGGGACUUUGCAUUCAAAUAGGCACUUGGAGAUUCCAAGGCAGAAAGCCUGCUCCUGACACUUCCCCUGAAGCGCUGGUUUCUGAGACCCCAUCACGUGGCUCACCCUGGGAAAGGUGGCAGAGAGGUGACCCCUAGACCUCCUCCACCUGCCCUUCCUCCUCCCACUUCCCCUCCUUUUUCCCUCCCUCGCCCCCCUCCUUCAAGGAGGUGCCCGUCCCUUUUCUGAGGUUGGAGGUCUCGGGAGAAGCACUGACUGGGUGGGCCCCUCCCAAGGGCCUGGUGGCAUCUGGAGGCCAAGCCUCCUCCUUCCCCAGCAACUCCUGAAGAGGCAGGUGGAGGGGUCAACUCCGUGAGCCCCUGCCCGUCCCACCCUCUCCCCUUGGGCACAGGCCUGGGGACCCCGGGGAGUCUCAACCUUGGGGGCCCAGGGCAGGAAGGGCCUUCAUUAGCCUGGGAGACAGAGUAGCCACAAAGUUCAGCUCCAGCCAGGGGCCAACCUGGGACACAGGAGACUGGGCCCUGUCAUCUGGGGCCACACAUCUUGGACCGGCUGCAGCAGCCCGGGGUUUUUAAUCCAGGGCCCUGAAUUAAGCUGUGUUCCGCCGUGACGGGUUUGCUAAGUCCUCGGAGCCAGACCACGUUGGCUGCUCUGCUGGGAAAGGGGUUCUCGGGAUUUGGGGACUUCUAUGUGAAGUCUUUGCCGAAGUCCACACCCUGGAAGAUGCAGGGAGGAUGAAAACGUGCCCAUCUGCCUCUGGCUUUUGAUUCCAGCCCCACCACAGCACAGCUGCCUUCGAAAACACAGGGCAGGAGCUUUCUGCAGCAGUGGCUGGUGGGACAGACAGAUGGACGGACACACACACACAGGCAGCAGAACUGGAGCUUCCUGUAUCCACCACCGCAGUCACAACGCUGAACGCUGCGGCACCCCAAGGACGCCCUGGAUCACUCUUUUGCAACUGGACCGACCUCCUUCCUCUUCCUAAUCUGCCUCCAAGUCUCCAAGUCUGUUAUUUCAAGAAUCUUAUGUGAACGGAAUCAUACACCUUGUAACCUUCUGGGAGUGGCUUUUUCCCUCAAAAUCAUUCCCUGGAGAUUCCUGCAAGGUCUUGUGUGGCCCAGUCCGGGGUUCCUUUUCCCGAUCCGUGACGUGGAGGCACGACAGCAUGUUUAGCAUUCGCCCACUGAAGGUCAACCAGGUGUUUCUGGUUUUUGGCUAUUAUGCAUAAGCUGCUAUGAACACUUGUAUGCAGCUUCUUUUAUUUUUUAUUUUUAUUUUUUAGAGACAGGGUCUUGCUCUGUCGCCCAGGCUGGAGUGUAGUGGCACAAUCACAGCUCACUGUAGCCUCAAACUCCCAGGCUCAAGUGAUCCUCCCCACUCAGCCUUCUGAGUAGCUGGGACUACAAGUGUGCACCACCACGCCCUGCUAAUUUUUAAAGUUUUUUUAUAGAGACAGGGUCUUGCUAUGUUGCCUGGGCUGAUCGCAAACUCCUGACUGAGUAAUCCUCCCGCCUCGGCCUCCCAGGGUGUUGGGACUAUAGGCGUAAUCUACCACGCCCAGCCUUGUGUAUAGGUUUUGAUGUGAACAAAAGCUUCCAUUUCUCUGGGAUAAAUGGCCAAGAGCACAGUUGCUGGGUCUUAUGGCAAUUGUGUGUUUAGUUUUAUAAGAAACUGCCAAAUUGUUUUCCAGAGGGGCUGCACCAUGUGACAGGACCAGUAGCAGUUUCUUUUUCUUGUUUUUUUCUUUUUUUUUUUUUUCGAGACGGAGUUUUGCUCUGUCGCCGAGGCUGGAGUGCAAUGGCACGAUCUUGGCUCACUGCAACUUGUACCUCCUCAGUUCAAGCAACACUCCUGCCUCAGCCUCCCGAGUAGCUGGGAUUAUAGACACCCGCCAUCAUGCCCAGCUAAUUUUUGUAGAGAUAGGGUUUCACCAUGUUGGCCAGGCUGGUUCCGAACUCCUGACCUCAGGUGAUCCACCCGCCUUGGCCUCCCAGAGUGCUGGGAUUACAGGCGUGAGCCACCACGCCUGGCCCCCGGUAGCAUUUUCUGAGUGAUCCUAUUUCUGUGCAUCCCCACCAGCAUUUGGCGUUGCCACUAUUUUUAAUUUCUGAUAGGUGUUGAUGGUAUCUCACUGUGGUUCUAAUUUGCAUUCCCCCCAUGGCUCAUGGUGUUGGACAGCUUUUCAUGUGCUCACUUGCCAUCUGUAUAUUCUCUUUGGUGAAAUGUCACCAUUGAAUUUGAAGCGAGUUUCUUGUAAACAGUGUAUGGUUAGGUUGUUUUUCAAAAAAUAGACUGCCAAUCUCUUGCUUUUUACUUGGUGUAUUUCAUUUACCUUUAAAGAAAAUUAUCAAUAUGUUAGGACUUAGGUCUGCCAUUUAAGGAUUUGUUUUCUCUGUGUAUGUUUUCUUGCUUUUCUGUGGAUUCCUUGAACAUUAGGAUUGAGGUUCAUCUUGGUUGAUUUAUAGUCAUCUAGAGGGCGUUUCUUUGUAUCACUUCCCUAGUGGUCGCUCUGGUUAUUACAAGGUACACGGGUAGCAUUUUACCACCUGCAGUGAAUGUGGAAGCCUUACUUCCAUGUAGGUUCUUUAACCUGUCCCCCUUUUAUUUUCAUUUUAUGUUAUUUUUGAGACAGGGUCUCACUUUGUUGCCCAGGCUGGAGUGCAGUGGCACAAUCACGGCUCACCGCAGCCUCAACCUCCUGUUCUUAAGUGAUCUUCCUGCCUCAGCUGCCUGAGUAACCAGGACUACAGGCACAUGUCACCACACCUGGCCUAUUGAUUGAUUGAUUGAUUGUAGAGAUGGGGUCUCACUAUGUUGCCUGGGCUGGUCUUUAACACCUGGGCUCAAAGGAUUCUCAUGCUUCAGCCUCCCAAAGUGCUGGGAUUACAGGCGUGGGCCACUGCACCCCCCACCACACCUUUUUAAAUAUCAUUGUCUUGAAUAUCAGACAGUGUUAGAAUUUUUGCUUCAAUCAUUAAAUUUGAUUUAUAAAGCUCAUGAGAAGGAUCAUCUAUUGCAGAUUCCCAUACACUUGUUCUUUCCAUUAUUUUUUCCUUCUUAAUGCUCCAAGAUUCCAUUUUAUUUUAUUUUAUUUUAUUUAUUAUUAUUUGAAAUAGAGUCUCUCUCCGUCGCCCAGGCUGGAGUGCAGUGGCGUGAUCUCGGCUCGCUGCAGCCUCCGCCUCCCG
rnacentral:lncRNA from 10 species